rnacentral:misc_RNA from 1 species
UUUGUCGUUUUGUCGUUGCUCUUGGAGCUGCGGUUUAGAAAAUUUACUUUAAAAAUAAUUUAAAAUUAAAUUAAAUUAGUUUUUAAUUUUUUUUAAACUGUUUUUUUUAAUCAUAUCUAAAAUAAUUUUUUUUCUCUGAAAAACAGUUAGAGUGCUGCUUUUGGCCUGGUGAGAUUUUUUAAGUAGAUUUUGUCUACUAUGUUAUCUAUAGACUAAGCCAAUUAAAUUAGUCCAUAUCAUUCAACUUAUGAUUAUAUUUUUAUAAAGUGAUUUAAUUGAUUUAGUCUAUGAAUGUUGCUGACUUAGAAGCAUUAGAUAUUUCUGAGGAUUUAACCCAAAGUUGUUUAGAGUGGAGAAAGCGAAUCC